GCGGAUGGAGGGGCAGUACGGCACUGUUCCCCAGGGCCCGCGAACAAACGUUGCCAGGGGCAAUUGAAUGACUUAACUGGAGUCAUGCAAAUGGAAGGCACAGGAUUUGAGCCCAUCGCAAACCCAGCAGGACCAGUGAGGCACAGCGUCCCUCUGAGCAGCCAGCAGGCGCCUGGGCCUGGAGGGGCUGCACCCUCACACCCCCUCACAUCCCUGGGAA
rnacentral:lncRNA from 1 species